GAGGAUCCAAAGCGAGAACGUUGGCAAAAAAUAAAAAUAAUAAGGAUUCCUCUCCCCCGCGCUAAUUGCGAUGCAGAGGGGGGGUGUUGCGGUAGGGAUCCUGCUCGGGAUCCUGCCGCGGUGUAACGCUGCCCUCUGAGCUGCGGGAGGGGGGCGGCCUGGCCUGCCUGCCUGCCCCGAAAUCCCGUCGGCGGAGAUGGCAGAAAAGCGUUUUAAUGGCAAUCGAAAAGCGCUUUAAUGGCAGUCCAUGGAGGAUCGCAAGGUCCGGGGAGGAAAUGUUGAUUAAAAGGUGUUGAUUAAAAAUGCUCUGUGUGUGGGUCGGUUCUUUUAUUUAUUUAUUUAUUUAUCCACGUCCGCGACUUGCUUAAAUACAAGUAAACAGCCCGAGCGAGCAGAAAGGCAGCUUUCCCAGCCGCCCCGGUGCGUGCUGGAGGCAGGCCGUCAGGAGUUUGUGCAACGCUUCGAGCGGCAGCGCGCAGAUUUAAAGCAGCGUGCUCCGAAGGGUUACUGCUUACACUGCUUACACUGCUUAUUGGGGCACCAUUAAACCAGCCCCGAACAGGCCAAUGUGCUUUUUCUCCCCCUCCUUCCCCGUUUCCUCCCUGCUGCCGAGCCGCAGGGAUUCGCGAUUCCCGACGCGCAAGGCCAAGCCCUCUGUUUCGUUGCAGUCACAGGUUUUUGUGGCAAAACUUUCCAAGCACGUUUUCACUCUUUAGGAAAUACCGAGCUGGAGGGUUCCGUAUACAUUGCCUGACUCCGUGUGAAAAAGAAGGAGUUACAAUUGUGUUGAAGAACAUUUUUGUUGUUGUUGUUCAGAAGGAGAAAACAAAGAGUUCAGCCUGAGACCGAGAAAUUGCUUCAUAAGAAAACCAUCUGUGUUGAGAGAGAUGGACUAAGCAGCUGGAUCCCUGCCAUACUGUCUGGGGGAAUAUGGUUGUUCUGGACAAGAGGAACAAUGGGAGCAGAAUGGCUGAUAUAUGUGUGCACACAGGUAGGUGCGCGCACACGCACACACACACUAGCAAAAACAUGUGUGUUGUUUAGCAUACAUUUUAUACUGAAUAUACAGAUGUAUAUAGUACUAUGCAUUAGUAACAUAUGUGUGUACACAUGAAUGUAUUUGUGUACAUAUACACAUACAUGUAUGACUGAACUCUGUGA
rnacentral:lncRNA from 1 species